AUCCAGGGACCCAUCCUCCCCAGCCCUGACAUACAGAGUGCAUGAUGUCAUAUCCAGGGCCCCAUCCUCCCCAGCCCUGACAUACAGAGUGUAUGAUGUCAUAUCCAGAGCCCAUCCUCCCCAGCCCUGACAUACAGAGUGUAUGAUGUCAUAUCCAGGGGCCCAUCCUCCCCAGCCCUGACAUACAGAAUGCACAAUGUCAUAUCCAGGCCCCAUCCUCCCCAGCCCUGACAUACAGAGUGCAUGAUAUCAUAUCCUCCCCAGCCCUGACAUGUGUAUGAUGUCAUAUCCAGGAGCCCCAUCCUCCCCAGCCCUGACAUACAAAGUGCAUGAUGGCAUAUCCAGGGCCCCCAUCCUCCCCAGCCCUGACAUACAGAGUGCAUGAUGUCAUAUCCAGGGGCCCAUCCUCCCCAGCCCUGACAUACAGAGUGCAUGAUGUCAUAUCCAGGGGCCCAUCCUCCCCAGCCCUGACAUACAGAGUGCAUGAUGUCAUAUCCAGGGCCCAUCCUGCCCAGCCCUGACAUACAGAGUGUAUGACGUCAUAUCUAGGGCCCAUCCUCCCCAGCCCUGACAUACAGAGUGCAUGAUGUCAUAUCCAGGGCCCCAUCCUCCCCAGCCGACAUACAGAGUGCAUGAUGUCAUAUCCUCCCCAGCCCUGACAUACAGAGUGCAUGAUGUCAUAUCCAGGGCCCAUCCUCCCCAGCCCUGACAUACAGAGUGCAUGAUGUCAUAUCCAGGGCCCCACCCUCCCCAGCCCUGACAUACAGAGUGCAUGAUGUCAUAUCCAGGGGCCCAUCCUCCCCAGCCCUGACAUACAGAGUGCAUGAUGUCAUAUCCUCCCCAGCCAUGACAUACAGAGUGCAUGAUGUCAUAUCCAGGGCCCAUCCUGCCCAGCCCUGACAUACAGAGUGCAUGAUGUCAUAUCCAGGGCCCCAUCCUCCCCAGCCCCGACAUACAGAGUGUAUGAUCUCAUAUCCAGGGGCCCAUCCUCCCCAGCCCUGACAUACAGAGUGCCUGAUGUCAUAUCCAGGGGCCCCAUCCUCCCCAACCCUGACAUACAGAGUGCAUGAUGUCAUAUCCAGGGGCCCAUCCUCCCCAGCCCUGACAUACAGAGUGUAUGAUGUCAUAUCUAAGGCCCAUCCUCCCCAGCCCUGACAUACAGAGUGCCUGAUGUCAUAUCCAGGGGCCCCAUCCUCCCCAGCCCUGACAUACAGAGUGUAUGAUGUCAUAUCCAGGGGCCCAUCCUCCCCAGCCCUGACAUACAGAGUGCAUGAUGUCAUAUCCAGGGGACCCAUCUUCCCCAGCCCUGACAUACAGAGUGUAUGAUGUCAUAUCCAGGCCCCAUCCUCCCCCAGCUCCUGACAUACAGAGUGCAUGAUGUCAUAUCCCCUCCCCAGCCCUGACACAUACAGAGUGCAUGAUGUCAUAUCCCUCCCCAGCCCUGACAUACAGAGUGCCUGAUGUCAUAUCCAGGGGCCCCAUCCUCCCCAACCCUGACAUACAGAGUGCAUGAUGUCAUAUCCAGGGGCCCAUCCUCCCCAGCCCUGACAUACAGAGUGUAUGAUGUCAUAUCUAAGGCCCAUCCUCCCCAGCCCUGACAUACAGAGUGUAUGAUGUCAUAUCCAGGAGCCCCAUCCUCCCCAGCCCUGACAUACAGAGUGCAUGAUGUCAUAUCCUCCCCAGCCCUGA
rnacentral:lncRNA from 1 species